GCUGAGUUCUGUCGCUUAUCAAGCAAAAAUCUGAGUUGCAAUCAGAGUUCUUCAAAGAUCUCGACAAAUACACUCCUCGCUUCCUGGAGAAGUUCAAAACCCAGAGGGGGAAAGUGUCGGACAGAAACUUCAAUAUCUGCAACAAGUCACACCUGGGAGUACAGAUGUGACUGGGAGGUGAACAGCAGUCCUCCGUGGCUCUCCCGUCAUCCUUGGAGAUGACAACGCAGACUUCUUCAAGAAUUUGACUCUGAUGACCUUCUGGACGUGUCCCACACCUCCAUUGGGACCCUGACGGUGCUGAAGACAUUGUGGCCUCCUCACUCGCUGGACCUGGAGUCUACAACUACUGCCAUCGUUUUGGGAGGAACAGUCGUGAUGGGUGACCGUGAUAAUCUUCCCUGUGCCG